UUUUAUUCAGCUUUCGGCUGACAGAACCGCGCGUGCGCGGAGCUACCUGAUCUCUCCCCCCUCCGACACCCCGGCUCCUCCUUCACCCUCCCCCCCCGGCAGUCGAUAUCUGUGCCCGGAGGUUUGAAUCUCUUCUGUGGCCCCAGCAGCCGCCAUGCUGAGCUGAGAGACCCGACUAACUUUCACGCCGCAACUUCUCCUCGUCCUCCCUGCGUGAAAUUAGGAAGACUUCCGCUCGACUGUGCUCCAACAUUAGGACCUGGUUCUAUCCUCUUCAUCCAUUUCCAGCUGUGUGAAGAAAGCAAAGAGGACUUUUAAUGAAUCAGUUUUCGCUAGCCGACGCCAUGGCCGACAACCUGAGGAUUUUAUAAUUCUCUCCCGCCGAAGACCGUCGCAUCUUGUAGGAGCCACAGGUCAGAAACUCUACUCCUCUUCCUCCUCCCUAUUUGUUGUUGUACCACCUGCUGCUGAGGUGCUGCAAGCUUCAAUGUGAAUGUUGCAUGCUCCUUCCACCCUCAUCUGCCACCACCUUGCUGCAUGAUUUCCUUUUUUUAAACUUUGACAUUGACUUUAAGCGCUGCGUUCUUAUCUUUAAUCGCUCUCUUCGAUUG
rnacentral:lncRNA from 1 species